UGUAGUUUUAAUAAAUUUAUUUUUUAAAAUUGUUUAAAUUAGGAAAGAGUUUGACUUUUAAAUAUAGUAGGAAUUGGACAAAAUCAGUCAUAAUCUUUCGAAUUUUUCGUUUACGUUAACAACAAGCCCUUCAAAAAAAAGAUAAUUUAAAAAGCAACAUUUCCUCAUCAUUAUCUCAAAAAUGUCAUUUUUUUGACUUAUCGCUCUUUUGCACUGAGGGUGCGAUAUUAUUAUCGAUCGAAUAAAUAAUAUCCUAAACCAGGAUUUGACCCCGUAACCCUUUAAUCCUUUCAGUUAAGUUAUAUUUUUUAGUUACGACAAAGUUAAAUGUCAAAGUCUGCAAAAAAUUACAGGUAUAACUACGGUGACCAUAUUUCUAGGAGCGAAAUCCGGGACAGGUAAAAAAUUCGUUGCUUCGUUUUGAAAACAUUGGUUUUUCAAAAAAAAAAAAAUAAUAAUAAAAUGAGUUUUCAUAAUUAUUCCUAAUUUUGAUAUCAAGAUUUUUUAAACGAUUUUAUAGGACGUUGAAAUCCUUUAAGUCGUUUCCAAAGGAAUCCAGAAAUCAAGAAUUUAUUCCCUCUGUGCCACGUAGUUAUGAGUUAUAUGUGUUCUUUCUCUCUUUGUCUUUCUUUGUUGUAUUAAUGUCUUGUGCUGUAUCAGCCAAAUGGACUUAGUUUCCGAAGCUGCAGUGUGUCUAGUUCGGAAGAUUUAUCUUCUGAUUAGAUUAAUAUGUAAUGUAAUGUAAGAAUUUAUUAGAUACUGUUACUACUGUUAAUAACUUAAAAAAAAAACUACUUUUUUAAACAAAAUUAUGAGAGCUGUUUUUUAACAUUUUAAUUUUGUUUUAAAAGAUGAAUUUUGUAAUAUUUAAUUCAACUUUUAAUAGGGUCAAUGUGGGUAAAUGUAAACAGGGGUAAAUGAAAACAUGGCUCAUAACAAGCUUCAGUUAAAUCUCUUUGAUGCAUACAUAAUUACAAAUCGCGGACGCAUGUAUCUUUUAACUAAUACGUCAAGCUCAUUGCUGUCAAGAAAAUUCAUUCGACGAGCGUAUUUUCCGUGAAAGAUAAUUUUUUAAAGUGCCAAAUAAGUCGUUAGUCUUUCAGAAAAACUUAAUAUUUUUGCAGAUUCAAUUAAGCCAGUAUAAUUUGCAAAUACUUUAUAGUUUUUAAUUUUGGUGUAGAUUCUAUGUGAAACAAACAAAUUUUAAAACACAGGACAUUUAUGUCGAUUUGCAUGUGUUUACAUUUACCCCAGAAUAUUUUUCAUAAUGGGUAAAUGUAAACAACGUAUUCUGGGGGUAAAUAUAAACAUAUAUUUUUGCUGAAAUUAUUGGUUUUAAUAAAAAUAAAGUAUUUUUAGUCGUUUACUAUUGCUAAAGUGCCGCGGAGUCACAUUUUAAAGCUGCCAACACAAUCAUUUUCAGUGGAUGAUGUUGCAAAAUAGGUCUUUGAUGAAAAAAAAAAAAAACAAAAUAUGACGUUCAGAGCUGCUCAGGAUGCAUAUUGGGUGCUUAUAUAAAGAUGCAAAGGAAGAAUCCAAAAAAUUUUAUUGGAAUUUGAAAAAGUUUUUGUCAAAUACCUUCUUGAACGUUUUUCAAGUCGUUAUCCAAAUGAUAAAGAACCACCGUUUACAUUUACCCCGAAUUUGUAAAAAAACAGAAACAUGGGGGGGUAUUUGUAAACAUGCCAUAUUUGACAGUAAUUUAAACAAUUUGGGAAAUAUUUGUUUAUAUUUAUAAAGAAGAAUUGCCAUCAUUUCAUAUUUGCAUUUAGAGAUACCUGUGAAGUUGUUCCGUGAAAACAUAUUAAAAUCUAAAGUCAAAAGAAAAAAAAGACAUGAAAUUGUUUACAUUCACCCACAUUGACCCUAUGUCCCUAAAAGUUUUUAAAUUUAGCUGGGUUCACUAUUCGAAAGAACUUUUUUCUGACAAAGACAAGCUCGAACUAAACAAUUGACGACAAAUUUUUAAAAACUAAUGCUUUUAUUCGAAAAAUUAGAAAAACUUUUCUUUUCCAACCACUGUUUUCUUGUUUUCCGUACAAAGUAUUUAAAAUUUUGAAUACAAAAAUCAGAAAAUGUGGAAAUACGGGACAAUCACGGGACAAAUUACAAUAUACGGGACACUUAUACGUUCCGGGUUUCUUAAAUAAAAACCCGGGACAAGCUAUAGAAAUACGGGACAUUCCCGGGUAAACCGGGACGGAUGGUCACCGUAGGUAUAACACACUUUGAUAAGGACUUUAUCAUAAAGCGGGAUAUGGUAAUAGAAAUGACAGCAACACUAGUCGUUGAUUUUUCAAUGAUUGAAACAAUUUUUGGAAGUGUUCUUUAGUGAUUUCGAAAUUGAUAUUAACUUAGCACAUUUAAACUUUUUAUAAUGUAAAACUGUUUGUAUACAUAUCUGGGUGGCAUCCAAUGACCCUUGCCCAACAAGGUUUGCCACAAGAACUAAAAUAUACUUCUCUACAGGUUUUUGAUGUGCUGAACUCGAACCUGAAGUCGGAAAGCUUUUAUUGGUCCCCCUUUUUGAAAUAUUACUGUUAGAAAAUGAAAAAAACGUCACUUUGGCUGUUUUCUAAUUUAUAUGAGGUGCUUAUAAGAACUGGGGUCGAAUUACGGCAUACGAUUACGAUCAUACGUUAACGUUUUGACUAUUUCUGUCUCUAUUUAAUUAUAAGAAAACGAUAGGGACACAUAGCAACCAUUCGUUAACGAACGUAUGCCGUAAUUCGACCCCUGGUUUUAUUCUUCCAAAACAUGUUUAAAUCUUAACGAUGCCUUUUUCACUGCCCGAGAUAUUUAAAAUUUAAGUAGCGGUCUUUGACUCAGAAACACUGGCUGGCCAACCAAAUCAAACUUUUUUUUUUCACAAGAACCAAAAUAUUUUUUUCUAGAGGCUGAACUCGAAUCUGCAAUCAGAAAAAUUCUAUUACAUAUUUGUUUAUAAUGAAUCACCCCACAUAAAAACACAACCUCGAAAACAGCCAAAAUGAAGUUUUUUUUGCAUUGUAUAACGGUAAUAUUUCAAAAACUUCAGAUUCAAGUUCAGCACAUCAAAAACCUGUACAAAAGUAUAUUUUGGUUCUUGUGACUUGUUGACCAGUGUAAUUUUCGCUGAUUGCAAAUGUGUGCGAUUUAUUCUGUUUGCAUGUACGUACAAUACGCUUCGGUUUGAUUUGAAAAUUACUCAUUUGUAAUCAUACAUAGUGCUUAGAAAUACCCAAUGUGAUUAAAAAAUGAUUUAAUCUUCUCUUCCUUGAGAAAAGUGAAAUACAAAAGCUUUCAGCUCUUUAACCACAUUUAAUCACUUUUGCGUAAACUAAGGUAUACAUUAACUGCGAAGUAUUCAUUUUAAGCUUUACUUCAAAAGUUUUAAUAAAUCAAAUACCUAUCUAUAUAUUUUUAUUCGAGGGUGUGCAGUCACAUCGAAAUUCUUUAACAUUUGAUGUCAUAAAAUAUUAUCAAUAGAUGAAAAUUAAAAAUUCUGUAUGCUGCUUCGUCAGAUGUACAUAUUAAUUCUUCUUCAAACUGUACGCUUGGAUUGAUUUAAGCUUAAUCUUUAGUAUGAAUGUAUAAGCUUGAAGUUGUGUAAUAUGAUAGAAAAAAAAAGCGUCACGACAAUUGUAAGCCCACACAUAGUUUUUUUUAGUAAACAUCAUAAGCUGCAUUUUUUUUUAGUUUUAGUUCCUCUUUCUAAAUAGUUUUUAACUCAAAAAACUGAUAAUGUGUCGUAAGCUUGUAUUCAAUUUAGAAGUUGGCCAAGUUAAUUAAAAAUUGUGUGUCUUAUGUAAACUUAUCGUCUUAGAACUUGAUAAUAGGUGCAAACAGUGCUGUGAUUAUUUUUUUUGAAAAACUAAAUAAAAAUUAAAUUGAACCUGUGCAAAGAGGGGACGGAAGAAGAAAAGUUGAAGCUUGUAAAAAUAAGAAUCGAUCUCGACGAUCUUUUUAGAUACACCAAAAAAUGCAAACAUGAAUGAUAUCGAAAGAGGUUUGUGCAAAUUAACCGUAAAUGUAAUUCCAGAUUGGUAGAAGAACGGUUUGGAGAUCCGCAAAAAGAACUAUAAUUGCUGAUGCCAAGCCUGGAAAUAUAUUGGACAAAAAUACGAGAUAAAUUACUUUUUUAACCGUUGGCAUAAGGUGAGCAGCACUGGCUGGAGAUGAUGCCCCUUCAACAUAAGAGGUUCUCUCUUUAAACGGCAACCCUUUUUACAAUGGAAGCUUCAACCAGUUUUGUUCCCUGUGUAACGCGCGAAAGAGGAUUUUAUAAGUAUAUGCCCAAUAUUCAGACCUAAAAGGUUGAUUUUCUUGGGAAAACAUUCAUUAUCCAUGAAAGAGACCAUCGAUCUUCUAAACAACUACGAGUGGAAAAAAUUAAGUAAUUAUUUAAAAUCUAUUUAUAAAGGAGAAUGGGCAAGUUAACGUGGACGUUACGCGGCCAGGAAUGAAUUUGUUAUUUUUUGAUGUAAUUAAGGUUUACAUAUAUUGUGCAGAAGUUUUAUCCCUGUGACGUAUUUCAAUAACGGAUAAAAUGCAUUUUUGCAUUUAACACUUUAUAUAUAUGUCUCAAUGUUAUAACUCAAUUGUGUAUUUUAAGUGCAAAAUAUUAUUUUCUGUCAUUUUCCCUGAGUCUGAAGACCUUUAUCUUGAAUAUCCAACCACUAGGACCCAAACUAUAAGCAUUUUAAAACAACAAAUUCAAGCCUAUUUUUAGAGUUUUGUUGUUCAAUUUUUUGUUACUUUGAAUUCUUUGAAAACUUUCGAACCUGAAAUGGUUAUCUUAAAAAUCUUAUAUUAUGAGUUCUAUUGGUCGGAUUUUCAAGAUUAAUGUCUUCAUGCUCAGGGAAAAUGACAGAGCAUCAUAUUUUAUAUUCCAUAUAAAAAUAUAAAUCAGUUUUUCCUUCAUACAUUGAACAAUGCAAUAACAAUAUUAAUACUGCAUUAUCUUGCAUUCUUAACGCAAUACAGCGAAACGUCCAUAGUAAAAGUUUUUCCUGGGCUAUAAUUCUUUCAUUUGAUACCAAUUUUAUUGAUGGCCGCUCAACGUCCAAAAUGCCCAUUCUCCUUUAGAAUGUUAAUAAUUUCAGAAUACCUUUAAAUAUUUAUAAUCCAGUCAAAUAAGGGUUUAACCUCGGAAUGAAUGUUAGUAGAAAUUUUUUUUGCUCAAUAUCUUCAUUUUGCAAUUCUAUAACAUACUUCAAAAGUCUAGAAAAAUCUCAUGUCCGCUUGUCGCGAUUUCAAGGUCAAAUCGCGAAAUGGAAAUUUUCAAAAUUAGCAAAAAUAGGCUAUGGUAUUAUAUACACAUAUGAUACAUGAUUUCAAAGUAUUUUUUAAUGCUGAUUCCAAAAAAUCUAAAAUCAAGACAAUCUGACGUCUCUGGAAAAAGUUAUACCUGUUUUUCAUCUGUCAACUCAUAUUAUUAUAACAGUUGCAAACUUACUGCCGAAAAACCCUUAAAAGUUAUGGUAGAUGAACCAAAUUUUGCAUGAAGAUUUUAGAAUCCAUCAUUAUUAAAUAUCAAAACAAUCCAUUACAAAAAAUAUAUAUACCUACGAAAUAAUGGUAUUUUU